rnacentral:lncRNA from 1 species
CCUCCUGGCCCCCGCCCGUCUCCUCGGAGCUGGCCCGAGGGCGGGGCGCGCAAACCCCUUGAGCGCGUCGUCCUGCACCGUCCUGGCCCAGGACUUUAGCUGCCGGAUCGCUCCGGAGCCGAGGACCUCCCCGCGCCCCCCGCCGUCUGGGCCUCCAGGGCCGCCAAGCGAGGGUUCACAGCUGCCCGCACAUCCCGGGUCUCCCCCGCCCCAUUCUAGCCGCCCAGUUUGCCCCCUUCGGGCGAAAGUGAGGAUAAGCUGACGCUUUCCCUCAACUUCUCUGGGAGAGAGAGCCGGAGCCCCACACACUGGCUUCAGUGUCCCAGAACACUCAGCAGGAGGAGAGAACGAUUUAAGAAACAAUUUGGUUCGAAAGGCCAUGGUGAAAAUCAGCCAUUUGUACAGCUGAGACGUGGUUGUGUUUAACCCAGAGGACCUCGCUUUCAGGGAAAAAAGAAAAAGAAGAAAAAAACCUGAUGCGGCCUUUCAGACAGCGCCAAUGAGAAGAAUGUGUGAUUGGAAGCCCCGAGAACCAGCACAGGUCUUUUAAAUAUUAGAGAGAGAGUGGCGUGGCCGGGAGGAUCCCUAGCCCACAGGAGUGAGUCUGGCAGCUCCUGAAGUUUGGGGUACUCAGAAUCGGGGGGGGGUAAUGACACAAGACCUGAAAAGAUCAUCUCAGUCAUCUCCCACGCUGGAGGAUUUGAGGAUGCACAGUCUCUUCCAAAACCAGGGCCAGGAGGAGUGGGAGGAGCUUUCUCAAGGGAGAAGAAGCAUAAGGAGAGACAAGAGUCUCUCUCCACCCCACAUACUUCCCAUAAACCACAGUGUCAGGCUCUAAAAGUAUCCCUGAUGCUCUAAAGUCAACUGAGAAACCAGUUCCAGGGGUUAAAACUUGUCUGAGAUAACAACUAAAUUCUAUUUGAUUUCCCACUAUUGGUCAUCUGCUGGGAAUGAGGCAUAAGCCCAGCUCUGUCACAUGGAGGAAAAACAUGAUGCAAUUAACCAAGUUGCUAGUGCAUCAUCUCAUCCUGACCUCUGCCACCAGCCUCCAUCCAGGCCAUCCCCUGCAAUCCCACACAGCCAGCUGGGCCCCUGGGGGCCAUCCCAGCCCCCUCCUCCUGGGUUCCCUUCCCAGGUCCAACUGAGGAUCUUCGCGUGAAGCUCACCUCAGGUACCUAUGUCUGAAUCCCACCAGCAGUGCAAAGACCCUUCCUGGAGGGGAAAGCUCAAGUGGGACUUGCAAUUAAGUCAACAAAUUGUUUCCUUCAACAACCCUGAAUCACAGCUCACCCAGGGACUACCUCAUCAGAGUUCCCAAGCUCAGGAGAUUCCCCUCAUCUGCUGUCAGACUUGGUGGUUGGUCAUCUUUCCACUGAUCCUGCCCAUAUUGCUACAGGCAUGUGCUCCUUUUUCAAAGUGAUGGAAAAUACAAGAAACAACAGUUGCCACUGGGAUAGGAGCUUUCAGAACUUGGUUCUGAACACAUUUCAGUCAUUAAAAUGGCUGUAUGGCGUUGGGCAAGUUAUUUAAUCUCUCUAAUUCAAUAUCCUCAUAAAGAAAGUGAAGAAGAUAUUAGUGAUAUCCAGUGAGCCAGUGGAUCUGAACACACUGAAAAGUGUACAAGCUGAUUUUGUCAUCUCUAUUUCACUUUGUCAAACAAGAAACAUCUCAAGUGAAGGAAACUGCUACCUGAAAAUAAGGAGGUCCAGGGCAGAGGUGGAAGCCUCUGGUCCUUUUUCCCUGUUGCUGAGAGUGGCCUUGGAAACCCUCAGUAAUACUCUGUACACCCAGGGAGGCCGUACACCCAGGGAGGCCAGAAGAGGUCGACAGAAAUAGUUUCCAUCAAAAAAAAAAAAAAAAAAAAAGAAAGAAAGAAAUAGUUUCCAUCUCAAUAUCCUGUGUUUUCCUUUCUCAGAAACCAGAGCAGCUCCACAGCCCAGGCCUGGAGGGGAAGCCAGAGGGAGUUUAUGCAGCAGGAGCCCUGGGCCGGCCCCGCCCGGCUGCCUGCCUGACUGAGGGCUGCCUCUGCAGUUGAGUCGUCCCCAUCCCCUGGGGGACUGUUUUCUCUAAUAAUCCUUUAAUAUUAGGAAAUAUCUGUCAGUGUUUACAAUUUCCUGAAUGUCUUCAAUUUGCUCCCUUUUUUGUGAUGUUUGUUUGAAUGAAGAAUCUAAAGAUCUGUACAUUGUCAUUGAUAGAUAUAUCUCUGAAAUCCUUUGUAGUUUAGUUUACCCUCUAAGUAAAUCCUCUCUCCACUUUUUUAAUGAAAAAAAAAGUGUCCUUUUUAAUGAAAGCAAAGUAAGGUUGUUUAUGCUGCAGUUUCCCAAACCUGAAUUUUUAAAAUUAAAACACAGUAAAGUCCUUGAAGAACCCUCUCUUCCUUGUGUAGCCUGUAAACUGGCAAUUACAUCCAGAGGCCAGAUUCAGAUUUGAUUAUAAUUAAUAUCUCUCUCUCUCUCUCUC